ACCUGUGGGUAAGACAGGAAUGCGUGGAAAAUGCAAACAGUGCAACAAAGAACUGCAAGGCCUGGUUGCCCGCAUGAAACAACAUCACAAGAAGUGUUCCUUCUCAGGAGGAAGUUGAUGAAAGGAGCAGGUCUGAAUAUGCAGGAUCUUCAGGAGAAUCCAUCCUCAACAUACAGAAUUCUGAAGACUAUUCACCUUCAAGAUCACCAUCAUUUUCUAUAGUUUCAGAGUUGUCUGCCAAUGAUAAUGUUUUAGUCACAUCAUGUACGUCACAUAGCCUCAGUAUAUCACCUGUAGCAAAAAGAAAAAAAAUCUCCAUCAUCCAGAAACAACCACAGGUAAGUUUGGGAUAAGAACCAGCAGAUUACAAAAGAGAUUAUGAACAAA